rnacentral:lncRNA from 1 species
GUGAGGAAGAAGGUGUAUUUGUAAGUGUUCUUGCUGUGUUAGUCAACUUCUCACGAAGUGGGAGGGGGUUUAUAUAUAGUGGGGAGUCUAAAGUAGCCGUUGGGCUCACUUAAGUCUGACAGUGGUCGGACAUCCGGCAGUUCUCGGAUGUCCGGACGCCCACAAGGGGUCGAACAUCCGACAGGGGUCGGUCGUCCGGGGAUGUAUAUAUCAGGAACCACUGUGUAGUCGAACAAGGACUGGACGUCCGGAGGAAGCCGAAUGUCCGAGACUUUGGCUCUGUUCAAGGGCACCGGAUUUCCGAAAGCGGUCGGACGUCUGGACCUCUGACGACAGGGGGAGGCCGGAAGUCCGAGUUAUUUGAUUCUGGAUUUCUCUGGUGCAAGGUUCCGGUUUUCCGAAGUGGUCGGGUGUCCGGCCCUCGGACGUCCGGAGGGAGCCGGAUGUCCGAGACUUUGGCUCUGGUAUAAGGUUCCGGAUUUCCGAAGUGAUCCGGCGUCCGGCCCUCGGACGUCCGGAGGAAGCCGGA